ACGGAAGGCAGCAGUGAGGGAUAUUGGUCAAUGGGCGGAAGCCUGAACCAGCCAAGUCGCGUGAAGGAUGAAGGUUCUAUGGAUUGUAAACUUCUUUUGUUCGAGGGCAAAGUGAGUCACGUGUGGCUUAUUGCAAGUAUCGAACGAAUAAGCAUCGGCUAACUCCGUGCCAGCAGCCGCGGUAAUACGGAGGAUGCGAGCGUUAUCCGGAUUUAUUGGGUUUAAAGGGUGCGUAGGCGGGAUGUUAAGUCAGCGGUAAAAUUGGGUAGCUAAACUAUACCGAGCCGUUGAAACUGGCGUUCUUGAGUGUAAACGAGGUAGGCGGAAUGUGACGUGUAGCGGUGAAAUGCUUAGAUAUUUCACAGAACCCCGAUUGCGAAGGCAGCCUACUAGGAUACAACUGACGCUGAGGCACGAAAGCGUGGGUAUCAAACAGGAUUAGAUACCCUGGUA
rnacentral:rRNA from 1 species